GAGGGAUGACGGCCUUCGGGUUGUAAACCUCUUUCAGUAGGGAAGAAGCGAAAGUGACGGUACCUGCAGAAGAAGCGCCGGCUAACUACGUGCCAGCAGCCGCGGUAAUACGUAGGGCGCAAGCGUUGUCCGGAAUUAUUGGGCGUAAAGAGCUUGUAGGUGGCUUGUCGCGUCUGCCGUGAAAACCCGAGGCUCAACCUCGGGCGUGCGGUGGGUACGGGCAGGCUAGAGUGUGGUAGGGGAGACUGGAACUCCUGGUGUAGCGGUGAAAUGCGCAGAUAUCAGGAAGAACACCGAUGGCGAAGGCAGGUCUCUGGGCCAUUACUGACACUGAGAAGCGAAAGCAUGGGUAGCGAACAGGAUUAGAUACCCUGGUAGUCCAUGCCGUAAACGUUGGGCACUAGGUGUGGGGGACAUUCCACGUUUUCCGCGCCGUAGCUAACGCAUUAAGUGCCCCGCCUGGGGAGUACGGCCGCAAGGCUAAAACUCAAAGGAAUUGACGGGGGCCCGCACAAGCGGCGGAGCAUGCUGAUUAAUUCGAUGCAACGCGAAGAACCUUACCAAGGCUUGACAUGCACUGGACGGCUGCAGAGAUGUGGCUUUCUUUGGACUGGUGCACAGGUGGUGCAUGGUUGUCGUCAGCUCGUGUCGUGAGAUGUUGGGUUAAGUCCCGCAACGAGCGCAACCCUCGUUCUAUGUUGCCAGCACGUGAUGGUGGGGACUCAUAGGAGACUGCCGGGGUCAACUCGGAGGAAGGUGGGGACGACGUCAAAUCAUCAUGCCCCUUAUGUCUUGGGCUUCAAGCAUGCUACAAUGGUCGGUACAAUGGGUUGCGAAGCUGUGAGGUGGAGCGAAUCCCAAAAAGCCGGCCUCAGUUCGGAUUGGGGUCUGCAACUCGACCCCAUGAAGUCGGAGUCGCUAGUAAUCGCAGAUCAGCAACGCUGCGGUGAAUACGUUCCCGGGCCUUGUACACACCGCCCGUCAAGUCACGAAAGUCGGUAACACCCGAAGCCAGUGGCCCAUCCUCGUGAGGGAGCUUCGAAG
rnacentral:rRNA from 1 species